rnacentral:rRNA from 1 species
AACGAACGCUGGCGGCAUGCCUAACACAUGCAAGUCGAACGAGAUCUUCGGAUCUAGUGGCGCACGGGUGCGUAACGCGUGGGAAUCUGCCCUUGGGUUCGGAAUAACAGUGAGAAAUUACUGCUAAUACCGGAUGAUGUCUUCGGACCAAAGAUUUAUCGCCCAGGGAUGAGCCCGCGUAGGAUUAGGUAGUUGGUGGGGUAAUGGCCUACCAAGCCGACGAUCCUUAGCUGGUCUGAGAGGAUGAUCAGCCACACUGGGACUGAGACACGGCCCAGACUCCUACGGGAGGCAGCAGUGGGGAAUAUUGGACAAUGGGCGCAAGCCUGAUCCAGCAAUGCCGCGUGAGUGAUGAAGGCCUUAGGGUUGUAAAGCUCUUUUACCAGGGAUGAUAAUGACAGUACCUGGAGAAUAAGCUCCGGCUAACUCCGUGCCAGCCGCCGCGGUAAGAC